UCCCGUAGGUGAACCUGCGGAGGGAUCAUUA
rnacentral:rRNA from 1 species